rnacentral:RNase_P_RNA from 1 species
AGUACGGAUAAUCGCGGCCGCGGGAACCCGCGGGUGAGGAAAGUCCGGGCUUCGCAGGGCAGGGUGCCGGAUAACGUCCGGUGGAGGCGACUCCAAGGAAAGUGCAACAGAAAAGAAACCGCCGGGAGAUUCUCCCGGUAAGGGUGGAAUGGCGGUGUAAGAGACCACCGCUUCUCUGGUAACAGGGAAGGCUGUGUAAACCCCACCCGAAGCAAGGCCAAAUGGAAAGCAAUACGGCGGCCCGUCGUGCUUUCGGGUAGGCCGCUUGAUCCAUACGGCAACGUAUGGGCUAGAUAGAUGAUUAUCGAAUACAGAACCCGGCUUACAGUACUGCUC